rnacentral:rRNA from 1 species
GACGAACGCUGGCGGCGUGCUUAACACAUGCAAGUCGAACGCUGAAGCUCAGCUUUUGUUGGGUGGAUGAGUGGCGAACGGGUGAGUAACACGUGAGUAACCUGCCUCCUUCUUUGGGAUAACGCCCGGAAACGGGUGCUAAUACUGGAUAUUCACUGGUCUUCGCAUGGGGGUUGGUGGAAAGGGUUUUUCUGGUGGGGGAUGGGCUCGCGGCCUAUCAGCUUGUUGGUGGGGUGAUGGCCUACCAAGGCUUUGACGGGUAGCCGGCCUGGGAGGGUGACCGGUCACAUUGGGACUGAGAUACGGCCCAGACUCCUACGGGGGGCAGCAGUGGGGAAUAUUGCACAAUGGGCGCAAGCCUGAUGCAGCGACGCCGCGUGGGGGAUGGAGGCCUUCGGGUUGUGAACCUCUUUCGCUCAUGGUCAAGCCGCAACAAUGGUUGUGGUGAGGGUAGUGGGUAAAGAAGCGCCGGCUAACUACGUG